ACCCGGGGACACCGUACCAAACUCACGAAACGACGCGUUUCAUGCCCCGGGUGAGUUUAUGGAGCAGCCAGAGAGAGUAAAAUGUCCCAUUUGCUCGCUUGGACUCGGGCGCGUGGACUUCAUAACAAGUGAAGAAACAGUUUUUCUAGCGCUGGAAUCACAAGUAUUAAUACUUCUUCCUAUUUCUGAUGUCAAAGUGGAAAAAUAUACCUGUGAUGGACAUUUUGUGCUCGCAGGACUUAAGAAAAGAGAAUUAGCCAGCUGCACCAUAUAGUGUGACAACAGACUGCAGGCCUGGCCCCUGUCGAAAUUGAGGUCUUGCGCGUGCGUAACCGUGCAGCUUGUGCUUCAAUCUUUUCAUCCUCCUAGACACACUCAUCAGGCGCUGCCGCUCCAGAGCCUUGUCUCAGGGCACAAUUGUGGUGAAGAUGAAACACAGAAAUUGUUGCACUUUAGAGAGGUUUUUUCAGAACAUUCAUCAUCAGCAGAGGGACGUCUCUUCUAGUUUGCGACCAGACACUCUGAC